AUGGUCUAAUUCAACGCCAUCAGGCCUUUGAAGUUGAUACUACUGAAGUUGAUACAAUAUUAUUCCCAUUGUGUGGAGGCAGACAUGGAGGCGCAGGUUAAGUAACUUGGCAGAGCUGGGAUUCAGAUUCUGGAUGGUCAGGCAACAAAAGCUCAUGCUCUUAAGCUAUUGUAAAGAAAAAUAUGAACAUACCUAUUUUUAUUCAGUUGCAAGUGGUCUGAUUAAAAUUAGGCCAGCAAAUUUUUAUUUAUAUGCCACUAAAGUUUGUCAAGACAAGAUAAGAAAUAGGAAUCUAGAGGACAUUUUGUCCGUUGUUAUUUAACUGUGUCCCAAUUUUCAAAAGGUGGAAGUGGGAGGAGUUGAUUCUAAACGCCAUGGUGGAAUAUGGUAAGACGUUAUCUCAAGAUAGCUGUGUAAAGAUAGUAAUUGUAGCUCAAACUGUCAGUAACAGAAUGAGUACUCAUGUCAGUGUUUUGGUCUAAGCAUUUUUCAGGAGCAAUAUUCUACACCUCAUAUUAACCUAAGAAGCAUAAAAUAGAGUAUUUUUAUACUGUAGAUUAUAACUCUUUAGUGGUAAUUAAAUCAAUUUAGUGUGUCAUGAGCUGUCAUGAUCAGUAUCUUUAAAAAACAAUAUAAAACAUCAGAAUAUAUUACUUAGUGUAAAUAAUAUGUAUUGUUUUGUGAAACUUGUUUCAGGUGUGUGUGUGUGUGUGCGCACGCACACACACACAUCAGAUCACAAUAUAAAAAGAAUGUCUUCCUAUUGGUUGUGGUUGGAAAGGUUUGAAAACAUUGAAAUCAGAAUAUACAGGACUUAAGGCAAGCACCAGCUGUAAAGGAAAGAAAGAAAAUAUAUUUGUAGUCAAUGGUAGUUCAUUCAUUCCACAGCUAUUUCUUCAAUGUAUUGAACACCAAAAGUAUGCAUAACAACUGCCUAAAAUUAGGAGGAGACACAAGUGCAACUUUUAAGGUGAGCCCUUCUCUCUGGGGAGAGUUUACAAUCUUGUUGGAAAGAGAAGUUGCAGAGAGGAAUCAGUUAAAUAACAGUCCAAGGCAGUAUGAGAUUAAGUUCUCAACUCUACCAAUAAUAGUCAUUGAUUUCAGAAAACUGAUGUGGGCAAUAGCAGUUGAGGAGCGUUCAGAAGAAAGGAGCUGAAUUUGAGCUGAACUUGAAAUGGGAGGAUGAAGGUGGGAGGGAAAGGUUUUCCAGCAGGAAGAAGUGCGGAAAGCUAAAGAUGUUUGAGGUACAACUAAUUUGGAGUAAUAAGAGGUGGGGUUGGGUGAAUAAGGGGAGGCGUAGUAUUAGGAGAGUUUCUGGUUAGUCACGGGAGUUUACCGGAAAUUGGGCAAUCACUGGAAUUUUCUGAACAAUGAAAUGACAGGUUGAAAUCAGAGUGUUAGUCCAUAGGGUGAAGAGAGAAGAAAGGUCAGAUAGGAAAUUAUUGCUAGAGUGAACCAUCCAGUUCAAAAGUGCUGGACUGGCAAAGAGCCAGAAGUAAAGCACGUUGUAGGAAGCUGUGCUCUGGCGACAGACAAGGAAACCUGAAACUUAAGCCAUUUCAAGUGAAGUGACAGACCUUCCAAGAGAAUCACAGCAUCACACAACAGCCAUUGAUUUAAUGUUCUGUCACCUCCAACUUCAGACCUGCUUGUUCAGUGACCAGAUCCUCAAAGUUUCAACUGGGACGUGGUAACUUUUUUAGAUGGAGCAAUGCUUCUUGCCAAUCAUCAUAUACAUACUCAGUGACCUUGCAUGAAGAAACAUCCUGUCUGCAGAAAAGGAGACUGCACCUCAUCUACACAAGGCAGGGCUGAUAAGAAAUAACUUGGAGAGGUGAAGUUGGCAGAGAUCCACGCCUUCACUGCAUGGAAGGUGACAGCUGCACUAGUGCUUUGCCAAUGACGAUUUGACAGAAAAGAACUUUACUACUCAAAGUGUGGUUUGAGGACCAGCGACAUCUCAGACCCAGCCUGGACAGUAUGCAUUUUAACAACAUCUCCAGGCGCUUCAAAUGCAUGUUAAAGCUUGAGAAGCACUGCUGCAAGACAGAGACUCCUUCUCUCACUAUCCUUUUUCUAAAGGGGAAAGAAUAAUGAACAUCACUGAUUACGUGCCUGCUCUGUGUCAGGGGCUGGUUUCUUUGCUGCCAUUUCCCUCCUCCUCACUCUGUGAGGUUGGCACUAUUUCCCUUUACCUGUGAAGAAAUGAAGAUGAAGGAGUUAACGCCCCAGCCCGAGAGCAAGUAGAAACUCAAACUCAAGUCUUUUUGCCUGAACGCUUUACACUACUUCCAAACCACAUGGGUCUACUGGCUUUUACUGCUGGAGAAGAAGACAGAAGUGGGGGAAAAAAAAGAAAACGAAAACAGAACAAAACAAAAAGAGAGACAUGGAAGCACUCACCUUGAGUUUCGAUGAAAUCAGUAAAGAACCACUUUUUUUUUUUAGACUUAUAAGAAACAUUUUUAAUAUCAAUUUUAAGUUAGAGAGAUGCACACUUUUUGUGUUUUU